rnacentral:pre_miRNA from 1 species
UUACGGAAGAAGGAGCUUUCUUCAGUCCAGUCCAAGACACUGAAAUUGAAACUCAGCUGCUGACUCGUUGGUUCAAGAGCUCACCAAACAUUGCGAGCUAAGAAUUGAUGUGUUUCUGAUCCAAUGAUGCAGGAGCUAGCCGAGUUCAAUUACGAUUGUCAUGUCUUGGACUGAAGGGAGCUCCCUCUCGUUCCACA